GACGAACGCUGGCGGCAGGCCUAACACAUGCAAGUCGAGCGCCCCGCAAGGGGAGCGGCAGACGGGAGAGUAACACGUGGGAACGUACCCUUUGGUCCGGAACAACCCAGGGAAACUUGGGCUAAUACCGGAUAAGCCCUUACGGGGAAAGAUUUAUCGCCGAAGGAUCGGCCCGCGUCUGAUUAGCUAGUUGGUGGGGUAACGGCCCACCAAGGCGACGAUCAGUAGCUGGUCUGAGAGGAUGAUCAGCCUCACUGGGACUGAGACACGGCCCAGACUCCUACGGGAGGCAGCAGUGGGGAAUAUUGGACAAUGGGCGCAAGCCUGAUCCAGCCAUGCCGCGUGGGUGAUGAAGGCCCUAGGGUUGUAAAGCCCUUUCGGCGGGGAAGAUAAUGACGGUACCCGCAGAAGAAGCCCCGGCUAACUUCGUGCCAGCCGCCGCAGUAACAC
rnacentral:rRNA from 1 species